rnacentral:rRNA from 1 species
CUUGCUUCUCUUGAGAGCGGCGGACGGGUGAGUAAUGCCUAGGAAUCUGCCUGGUAGUGGGGGAUAACGUCCGGAAACGGACGCUAAUACCGCAUACGUCCUACGGGAGAAAGCAGGGGACCUUCGGGCCUUGCGCUAUCAGAUGAGCCUAGGUCGGAUUAGCUAGUUGGUGGGGUAAUGGCUCACCAAGGCGACGAUCCGUAACUGGUCUGAGAGGAUGAUCAGUCACACUGGAACUGAGACACGGUCCAGACUCCUACGGGAGGCAGCAGUGGGGAAUAUUGGACAAUGGGCGAAAGCCUGAUCCAGCCAUGCCGCGUGUGUGAAGAAGGUCUUCGGAUUGUAAAGCACUUUAAGUUGGGAGGAAGGGCAGUAAAUUAAUACUUUGCUGUUUUGACGUUACCGACAGAAUAAGCACCGGCUAACUCUGUGCCAGCAGCCGCGGUAAUGCAGAGGGUGCAAGCGUUAAUCGGAAUUACUGGGCGUAAAGCGCGCGUAGGUGGUUCGUUAAGUUGGAUGUGAAAUCCCCGGGCUCAACCUGGGAACUGCAUUCAAAACUGACGAGCUAGAGUAUGGUAGAGGGUGGUGGAAUUUCCUGUGUAGCGGUGAAAUGCGUAGAUAUAGGAAGGGAACACCAGUGGCGAA